UUGUUUUUGCAGUACAUAUUGUAAAAUAGUAAAGAUACAGAGAAGAUUAGUAUAGUUCCUGUGCAAGGAUGACAUGCAAAUUCAUGAAGCUUUCCAUAUUUUG